GUACUUUGCGCUACCGUCAUCAAGCCAUUAAUGCGCGUGGCCUCUGCAGGCCUCCAGUGCACUCAACCAUUAAUGAACACGGCUCAAGAUGAUCUCCGGAUCACUCGACCAUCAAAGCGUAUGGCCUUCCCUGAUCACCGGCUCACUCAACAAUUAAUGCACUUGUUAUCUACGGACCCCAGGCCCUCUACAGCGGGCGGUUGAACCACUCCCCCAGGUCCG
rnacentral:lncRNA from 1 species